GUCAUCUCAUGAUGUUCAGGGUCUUGCUGCUCCUGUUUGCCGUGGCUGGUCUCCAUGCAAGACCACUGCACCGAUUCCCAAAUGGUAAAUUAAAACCAAUUGGGCCACAAAUGGUCCAAGAUGAACACAGGGAUAGCUCAGUUCUGAAGCACAUGAACACUGAUGUGAAACCCAAGAAGCAACUACCAGUUCCCGCUGAGUUCUGCAGACAGGGAACAGAACCUUCCAGACGCUUCCUGAUGGACCUGAACACUGGGAUGCUCAAGCGUGGAGUUGGCAAAGUGAACGGAAAAGUUUCAAGAUUGGAUGAGCUCAAACAAGGCACUGAGAACCAGCUGCACACCCUGCAAGAGCUCAGAAUGCGUCCCAUGAUGAGAUCGCAGUACAUCGCUCAGAGCGAAAAACACGAGCAGAGAGCGAUCCCUGCCGAGGUGUACAGAAAAGGCACUGAAACUUCCAGAAAUGUCCUGAUGGACCUGAACACCGGUCUGCUCAAAGAACACAUGAACAAGAUGGACAGGAGAGUAGUGGCAGCUAAAUGGGAAGUGGUUUCUGAGCAUGAGGAUAUAAGAAGCCAAGACUCUUCUGAACAUAAGGAGAACCACAAAGCAGUUCCUGUUGAGAUCCGCAGACAGGGAACAGAACCUUCCAGACGCAUCCUGAUUGACUUGAACACUGGGAUGCCCAAGGAGGAACUCAGCGAAAUGAACAGAAGAGUUUCUGGCUUCUACAAUCCAGCAGCUAUUGAGAAGAGGCAAGGAACAGAACCUUCCAGACGCUUCCUGAUGGACAUGGACACUGGGAUGCUCAAGCACGAAGUUAGCGAAAUGAACAGAAGAGUUUCCGGCUUCUACAAUCCUCCAGCUUAUGAGAUGAGGAAGGGAACACAGAAUUCUCGCGCUACUCUGGUGGAUCCCAGAACUGGACAACUGCUGGAAUCUCUAACAGAGCUAAAGAGGAGCGCAGCGCCAUUGGAUGAGUUCAGACAAGGCACUGAGUACCAGCCGUACAUCCUACAGAAGCUCAGACUGAACAAACAAGACACUGAACCUUCCAGAAACCUCCUGAUGGACCUGAACGCCGGCCUACUCGAACACCAAAAUAAGAUGGACUCUUCUGAACAUAAGGAGAACCACAAAGCAGUUCCUGUUGAGAUCCGUAGGCAAGGAACAGAACCUUCCAGACGCAUCCUGAUUGACACAAACACUGGUAUGCCCAAGGAGGAACUCAGCGAAAUGAACAGAAGAGUUUCCGGCUUCUACAAUCCAGCAGCUAUUGAGAAGAGGCAAGGAACAGAACCUUCCAGACGCUUCCUGAUGGACAUGGACACUGGGAUGCUCAAGCACGAAGUUAGCGAAAUGAACAGAAGAGUUUCCGGCUUCUACAAUCCUCCAGCUUAUGAGAUGAGGAAGGGAACCCAGAAUUCUCGCGCCACUCUGGUGGAUCCCAGAACUGGACAACGGCUGGAAUCUCUAACAGAGCUCCAGAGGAACGCAGCGCCAUUGGAUGAGUUCAGACAAGGCACUGAGUACCAGCCGCACACCCUGCAGGAGCUCAGGAUGCAUGACAUUGUUAGACCAAAGUAAAGCGCUUAAAACGUGUACGAAAGUCACCGUGUUUAGAAUUGAUGAGGCCUGGUGGACAACGUUUGGCUGUGUUCGUACCCUAUGACUGCAUGAAGACCAUCUCAGAACAUCUAGUUGACUGUACUGUUGUAUUCAGAGGUUUCAUGCAAUAAAAGUGUCAUGCGAUAUUUGGAAUGACUGCA
ensembl:lncRNA